UUCUAGCGCCACACCCCUCUGAACGCGCCCAAUCUCGUCUGAUCUUGGAAGCUAAACAGGCUCCAGCCUGGGUAGUACUCGGAC
rnacentral:rRNA from 1 species